rnacentral:rRNA from 1 species
AGCGAACGCUGGCGGCAGGCUUAACACAUGCAAGUCGAGCGGGCACUUCGGUGUCAGCGGCAGACGGGUGAGUAACACGUGGGAACGUACCCUUUGGUUCGGAAUAACGCUGGGAAACUAGCGCUAAUACCGGAUACGCCCUUUUGGGGAAAGGCUUGCUGCCGAAGGAUCGGCCCGCGUCUGAUUAGCUAGUUGGUGGGGUAAUGGCCUACCAAGGCGACGAUCGGUAGCUGGUCUGAGAGGAUGAUCAGCCACACUGGGACUGAGACACGGCCCAGACUCCUACGGGAGGCAGCAGUGGGGAAUAUUGGACAAUGGGCGCAAGCCUGAUCCAGCCAUGCCGCGUGAGUGAUGAAGGCCUUAGGGUUGUAAAGCUCUUUUGUCCGGGACGAUAAUGACGGUACCGGAAGAAUAAGCCCCGGCUAACUUCGU